GCUGUCGUCAGCUCGUGUCGUGAGAUGUUGGGUUAAGUCCCGCAACGAGCGCAACCCUCGCCUUUAGUUGCCAUCAUUUAGUUGGGCACUCUAAAGGGACUGCCGGUGAUAAGCCGGAGGAAGGUGGGGAUGACGUCAAGUCCUCAUGGCCCUUACGGGUUGGGCUACACACGUGCUACAAUGGCGGUGACAGUGGGCAGCUACUUCGCAAGGAGAAGCUAAUCCCAAAAAGCCGUCUCAGUUCAGAUUGCACUCUGCAACUCGGGUGCAUGAAGUUGGAAUCGCUAGUAAUCGCUAAUCAGCAGGUAGCGGUGAAUACGUUCCCGGNCCUUGUACACACCGCCCGU
rnacentral:rRNA from 1 species